rnacentral:rRNA from 1 species
UACGGGGGGGGCAAGCGUUGUUCGGAAUUACUGGGUGUAAAGCGUGCGCAGGCGGUGAUGUAAGACAGAUGUGAAAUCCCCGGGCUCAACCUGGGAACUGCAUUUGUGACUGCAUCGCUGGAGUACGGCAGAGGGGGAUGGAAUUCCGCGUGUAGCAGUGAAAUGCGUAGAUAUGCGGAGGAACACCGAUGGCGAAGGCAAUCCCCUGGGCCUGUACUGACGCUCAUGCACGAAAGCGUGGGGAGCAAACAGG